CCUUACACAUGCAAGUCGAACGGUAGCACGGGUGCUUGCACCUGGUGGCGAGUGGCGAACGGGUGAGUAAUACAUCGGAACAUGUCCUGUAGUGGGGGAUAGCCCGGCGAAAGCCGGAUUAAUACCGCAUACGAUCUAUGGAUGAAAGCGGGGGACCUUCGGGCCUCGCGCUAUAGGGUUGGCCGAUGGCUGAUUAGCUAGUUGGUGGGGUAAAGGCCUACCAAGGCGACGAUCAGUAGCUGGUCUGAGAGGACGACCAGCCACACUGGGACUGAGACACGGCCCAGACUCCUACGGGAGGCAGCAGUGGGGAAUUCUGGACAAUGGGCGAAAGCCUGAUCCAGCAAUGCCGCGUGUGUGAAGAAGGCCUUCGGGUUGUAAAGCACUUUUGUCCGGAAAGAAAUCCUUGGUUCUAAUAUAGCCGGGGGAUGACGGUACCGGAAGAAUAAGCACCGGCUAACUACGUGCCAGCAGCCGCGGUAAUACGUAGGGUGCGAGCGUUAAUCGGAAUUACUGGGCGUAAAGCGUGCGCAGGCGGUUUGCUAAGACCGAUGUGAAAUCCCCGGGCUCAACCUGGGAACUGCAUUGGUGACUGGCAGGCUAGAGUAUGGCAGAGGGGGGUAGAAUUCCACGUGUAGCAGUGAAAUGCGUAGAGAUGUGGAGGAAUACCGAUGGCGAAGGCAGCCCCCUGGGCCAAUACUGACGCUCAUGCACG
rnacentral:rRNA from 1 species